AGAACGAAAAGGAGCUAUCGAAUAAAUAGCUCUGCUGACGGUACUCUAAGAAUAAGCACCGGCUAACUACGUGCCAGCAGCCGCGGUAAUACGUAGGGUGCGAGCGUUAAUCGGAAUUACUGGGCGUAAAGGGUGUGCAGGCGGCUGAGUAAGACAGAUGUGAAAUCCCCGGGCUUAACCUGGGAACCGCAUAUGUGACUGCUUGGCUAGGGUGCGUCAGAGGGAGGUGGAAUUCCACGUGUAGCAGUGAAAUGCGUAGAUAUGUGGAAGAACACCGAUGGCGAAGGCAGCCUCCUGGGACGCAACUGACGCUCAUACACGAAAGCGUGGGGAGCAAACAGGAUUAGAUACCCUGGUAGUCCACGCCCUAAACGAUGUCAACUAGUUGUUGGGGAUUAAAAUUCUCA
rnacentral:rRNA from 1 species